CAACAGAUUGAGACUGAAGCAAAGUAGCACCUAAUACCCCGGAAGUCCAUAAUCAGAUAGUCAGGACUCUGGAGAUGCAGCUCGGGCAGACUUCACUCAAUGACACUCCAAGAAGUUAUCACCAUGGACCGCGCGUUUAUCCCAAGCAGGGCAUAAAGGACUAUGAUGACUUUCUCAGCCAUAUUCAUGCAAGAAUUCUGUGCUUUGGAAGAGUUAAGCCAGACAGGAACACUUACGGCUAGCUUUCCACUGAUGGACUGUAAAUCCUGAGAAGCAAAUACAAUGCUAUGAUGAAACACUGAAAACCUGAAGUCUCCAAGGAUGAUCCUGGAGGCAGUCUUUACCCAGGCAAACCAAAUAUUACCAGGAUUGGCUCCAGUUUGUCCAAGUUCAGCCUCUGGGACCGGAGAGGGACCCAGCAUCCUAUUAAGUACAUGGCCACUUGGUGCCUGAAUCAUAUGGAGGUUCUAUCAGCAGAAGAAAGAAAGAAGAAACUCUUGAGUAGGAAUUCACCAGCUGCCAGAGAGGGUAUGAUUCUAUCAUUCAUUACCGUAAUGUAUUCUGUACAGGGGACCUAGUGUUCUCUGAGGGGCGAUGCAGCUGUUGGUUGAGAUUCUCAUUAUAAUAUUAAGAAAGUACCAUUUUCCUUCUAGUGUACUGAGAAUUUUUAUUGGGAACUGAUGUAGUAUUGCAACAAAUGACUGUUUUUGUUUCUGUGUUGUUCA